rnacentral:rRNA from 1 species
AGCGAACGCUGGCGGCAGGCCUAACACAUGCAAGUCGAACGAACCCCUCGGGGUUAGUGGCGGACGGGUGAGUAACACGUGGGAACGUGCCUUUAGGUUCGGAAUAACUCAGGGAAACUUGUGCUAAUACCGAAUGUGCCCUUCGGGGGAAAGAUUUAUCGCCUUUAGAGCGGCCCGCGUCUGAUUAGCUAGUUGGUGAGGUAAUGGCCCACCAAGGCUACGAUAAGUAGCUGGUCUGAGAGGAUGACCAGCCACGUUGGGACUGAGACACGGCCCAAACUCCUACGGGAGGCAGCAGUGGGGAAUCUUGCGCAAUGGGCGAAAGCCUGACGCAGCCAUGCCGCGUGGAUGAUGAAGGUCUUAGGAUUGUAAAAUCCUUUCACCGGUGAAGAUAAUGACUGUAGCCGGAGAAGAAGCCCCGGCUAACUUCGUGCCAGCCGCCGCAGUAAAAC